AUCGCUUCUCGGCCUUUUGGCUAAGAUCAAGUGUAGAAUAGAAGUCAUGAUUAAUAUAAUUGUUAGAAUAUAAUUCAUCCCCCUCUCUUAUAGUGUUAGCUAAAACAGUGAUGAAUUUUACAGUCAGUUCAAUAUUAGGAGCAACAGUUCCCUAA
rnacentral:snRNA from 1 species